rnacentral:rRNA from 1 species
AUGUGGCAUCGGAGAGUGUGUAGAGCCCAUGAAUUGUGCCAAGUAAGCGCUUGCCGACGAGUAUUGUCCGUUCUCAGUGUGCUUCCAGAUGAUUUCAUCCUCGACGUGCUCCACAAGAUGAAAGCCAUUGAUGAGAGUCCAAAGGUUUAUGAAUUGUCUAAUGUGCUCGACGGUGAAGCUUAUCGUGAUCUUAAUCUUGGAGAUCCAUGCAUCAUUGAGGAGCGCAUCCUUGACUUUACAAUUUUUCCUCGAGGAUGCCUCGAAGAUAAGAGGCGCGAUUUCCUUAGGCUUCCGGUCUUGAACCCAUGGAGCUUCCCAAGAGGGGGUCCUCGCCCCAUUACCAACCGUGAUUGUUGUUCAUGCGUAGAAGAGGUUGAGGUCCAUCUCAUCGCAAGGAUUUCCCAUGCCGACCCACAUUCUCGUUGGUUCCUUCCACUCGAACCAAGGCCAUCUCAGUCUUAG